rnacentral:rRNA from 1 species
CCUACGGGAGGCAGCAGUGGGGAAUUUUGGACAAUGGGCGCAAGCCUGAUCCAGCAAUGCCGCGUGCAGGAUGAAGGCCUUCGGGUUGUAAACUGCUUUUGUACGGAACGAAAAGGUCUUCUCUAAUACAGAGGGCCCAUGACGGUACCGUAAGAAUAAGCACCGGCUAACUACGUGCCAGCAGCCGCGGUAAUACGUAGGGUGCGAGCGUUAAUCGGAAUUACUGGGCGUAAAGCGUGCGCAGGCGGUGAUGUAAGACAGAUGUGAAAUCCCCGGGCUCAACCUGGGACCUGCAUUUGUGACUGCAUCGCUGGAGUGCGGCAGGAGGGGGAUGGAAUUCCGCGUGUAGCAGUAGAAAUGCGUAGAUAUGCGGAGGAACACCGAUGGCGAAGGCAACUCCCCGUGGGCCUGCACUGACGCUCAUGCACGAAAGCGUGGGGAGCAAACAGGAUUAGAUACCCUGGUACGUCCACGCCCUAAACGAUGUCAACUGGUUGUUGGGUCUUCACUGACUNAGUAACGAAGCUAACGCGUGAAGUUGACCGCGUGGGGAGUACGGCCCGCGAAAGGUUGAAAACCGUUUAAAGAGUAAGUUGGACCGGUGAGGACGGACGUUCGGACCGGACGGACCACCGAGGGGUAGGGGAGUGGG